GCGUUAUCCGGAUUUAUUGGGUUUAAAGGGUGCGUAGGCGGCCCCUUAAGUCAGCGGUAAAAUUUCUGCGCUCAACGCAGUCUGGCCGUUGAAACUGGGGGGCUUGAGUCUGGAUGAAGUGGGCGGAAUUUGUAGUGUAGCGGUGAAAUGCUUAGAUAUUACAAGGAACUCCGAUUGCGCAGGCAGCUCACUAAACCAUCACUGACGCUGAAGCACGAAAGCGUGG
rnacentral:rRNA from 1 species